rnacentral:rRNA from 1 species
GAUGAACGCUGGCGGCGUGCCUAAUACAUGCAAGUCGAGCGAGCAGACGAGGAGCUUGCUCCUGUGACGGUAGCGGCGAACGGGGGAGUAACACGUGGAUAACCUAACUAUAAGACUGAGAUAGCUGCGGGAAACCGGAGCGAAUACCGGGUAAUAUAUGGAACCGCAUGCACCGAUAGUGAAAGCGGGUUUUGCUGUCACUUAUAGAUGGACCCGCGCCGCAGUAGCUAGUUGGUAAGGUAACGGCUUACCAAGGCAACGAUGCUUAGCCGACCUGAGGGGGUGAAUGGCCACCUUGUAAGUGAGAAUCAGCACAGACUCUGAGGGUGGGAAGCAGUAGAGACUCUUACGGGAGGCACGAAAGCCUGACGGAGCACAGCGGGGUCAAGGCUGAUGGUCUUAGGACGGUAAAACGAUGUUAUUAGGAAAGAAGAAAUGUGUAAGUAACGAGGAACAUAUUGACGGUACCCAAUAAGAAAGCCCCGGCUAACUCCGUG